rnacentral:misc_RNA from 1 species
UCUCCGUUGGUGAACCAGCGGAGGGAUCAUUACAGAGUUGCAAAACUCCCAAACCAUUGUGAACGUUACCUAUCCCGUUGCUUCGGCGGGCGGCCCGGGCCCCGCGCCCGGCGCCCCCCGGCCCCCCGUGGGCGCCCGCCGGAGGUAAACCAAACCCUUGAGUUGCAUGGCCUCUCUGAGUCUUCUGUACUGAAUAAGUCAAAACUUUCAACAACGGAUCUCUUGGUUCUGGCUUCGAUGAAGAACGCAGC